ACCCCACUGCUAUCGGGAUAGGACUAAGACAUGCUAGUCGUGUGCUUCAGCCAAAACGAAGUACGGCAUACAGCUCAGUAACACGUGGCUAACCUGCCCUUGGGACGAGAACAACCCCGGGAAACUGGGGCUAAUUCUCGAUAGGCGAAAAUCUCUGGAAUGAGUUUUCACCCAAAAAGUUUGAGGUUAUGCUCUUCAAACCGCCCAAGGAUGGGGCCGCGACCGAUCAGGUUGUUGGUGAGGUAAUGGCUCACCAAGCCUUUUACCGGUGCGGGCCGUGGGAGCGGGAGCCCGGAGAUGGGCACUGAGACAAGGGCCCAGGCCCUACGGGGCGCAGCAGUCGCGAAAACUUUGCAAUAAGCGAAAGCUUGACAGGGCUAUCCCGAGUGCCAUCCGCUGAGGAAGGCUUUUACCCAGUCUAGAACGCUGGGGGAAUAAGGAGAGGGCAAGUCUGGUGUCAGCCGCCGCGGUAAUACCAGCUCUCCGAGUGGUGUGGAUGUUUAUUGGGCCUAAAGCAUCCGUAGCUGGCUAGGUUAGUCCCCUGUUAAAUCCACCGAAUUAAUCGUUGGAUUGCGGGGGAUACUGCUUGGCUAGGGGACGAGAGAGGCAGACGGUAUUUCCGGGGUAGGGGUGAAAUCCUAUAAUCCCGGGAAGACCACCAGUGGCGAAGGCUGUCUGCUAGAACGCGCCCGACGGUGAGGGAUGAAAGCUGGGGGAGCGAACCGGAUUAGAUACCCGGGUAGUCCCAGCUGUAAACGAUGCAGACUAGGUGUUUGGACGGCCACGUGCCGUUCUAGUGCCGCAGGGAAGCUGUUAAGUCUGCCGCCUGGGGAGUACGAUCGCAAGAUUGAAACUUAAAGGAAU
rnacentral:rRNA from 1 species